CCGAUGGCGACCGGCGCACGGGUGAGUAACACGUAUCCAACCUGCCGAUAACUCGGGGAUAGCCUUUCGAAAGAAAGAUUAAUAUCCGAUAGCAUAUCAAGAUCGCAUGAUCUUGAUAUUAAAGAAUUUCGGUUAUCGAUGGGGAUACGUUCCAUUAGUUAGUUGGCGGGGUAACGGCCCACCAAGACGACGAUGGAUAGGGGUUCUGAGAGGAAGGUCCCCCACAUUGGAACUGAGACACGGUCCAAACUCCUACGGGAGGCAGCAG
rnacentral:rRNA from 1 species